rnacentral:lncRNA from 1 species
CAGAUGCAAGGCCCUACAGGGCCGCGCAAGAUUUCAAAUAGUUCAGGACACUGCUUCCAAGUUGAUCUCAGUUAACCGUGAAAAUUCAACAACGCUGCCCCAAUUAAAGCAAGUGCGAGACAUGCUUGUAUUCCUGUGGAUCUGGCAAGCACUACUGCAUACCAGCGCAAAUUUCACUUUCCAAGCUUGCGUCGCCGUCGACCGAGGGCCGGGGAGUAUCGAUUCCAGCGGAGAAACGCCAACCCUCUACAUUGGCACGACUCGUGCAAGUAUGCUAUAUGAGCAAGUUGGGCCAUAAUAUGCUGUCAAACAUAGUAGCUUUAAUCAGAAUAGCUUUAAGCAGGUGACAGAGCUGUACUACAUAUUAUACUUUAUCGGCGCUGACGUCACAGAUCACCGGUAACACAGUGCUUUUCCAAUGCCCCUCAGAUCAAUGCUUUUCUCAGAUGUUUCGGCCAAGACCCACUUCACAUACUAAACAGCAUAAUAUACCGAAUCACAAGGCGUAUUACUAGUCGUAAGCGUCGUGGCUGGCCACAGCAUCUUGCGAUGGAUAUGAUCAGUUUGCUACGCGGCGUUUUAAAACGUCGUGCGACUUCAGACAGAUGGGUGCAAAUGCUCGCCGCGCGGUAAUGCAGUGGGUUCAGUGCAAAGCUAUGAGCUGAUGUUGGUUGUGUUCAUGUCGUGAGGAGUUGACUGGCUAGAAGAACGGACUUUUUUACUUUCGUAUCUGUACCACCAACGGAGGGAAGAGCUACGCUUGCUGCAGGGUUCGUGUACCGUCGUGCUGGGGAAAUGCUGCGAGGCAUCAGCCGACUUUGUGACGUCACUGACAUCCGUUUUGUAUCAACCGCGCGCCACUGCUCUGACGGAUCAUCGCAGUAUGCAACGUCACGGGUUGAGUUUUUACGGGCUCUUUUGGACCGACUGAUGGCCAUGAGGCAUCAGUCAGCAAUAUGACGUCACUGGUUUUCGACUUAGUGGGUGACGUCAUUGGUCAAAGCUAUGUAUGGGUUUGUUUAGACCGACUUAGGUCAUAAGACAUUAGCUAACGAUAUGACGUCACUGAUAUUCGACUUACCUCAAGCGCAAUACGCCAUGUUCGAUCUUCACCGGUCGUACCUGUCUACUGCAAGUAUUCGCGUGCUGAAUAAUGGCUGUGCCAAAUCAACUGAAUGCGUGACGUCAGUGGCCAUGUAUUUUUAGGCCUCUCUCGGGCCGUCCACAGGCCAUAGAGCAUCAGCUGACGACAUGACGCCACUGGUAUUCGAGAGGGUUUCGGGGCGCAUCGACUGCUGUAGGUCAUGCAGCAAGCUGGCAUUCGAUUCAACCUCAAGCGCAACAGGCCAUGUAUCUUUACUUUUCGUGCCUGUCUUCUGCCAGCAUUCGCGUGCUGAAUGAAGGGUCUGCCGAAUCAACUGAGUGUGUUACGUCAUCGAUCAUGAGUUAAUACGGGUUCACUUUGACCACCCAAGGCCGCGAAGCAUCAUAUCCCGUGAAACAUUACCGGAUGAUACGACGCCACUGGUAUUCGACGAAACAUCAGGCUCAACAGGCAAUGCUCCAUCUUUACCUUUCGUACCUGUCUACUGCAAGUAUUGGUGUGCUGAUUGGAGGCUUUGCCGAAUCACCUAAGCAUGUGACGUCACUGGCCAUGAGUUUAAAGGCUCUUUUGGGCCUAUUUAAGGCUCUAAGGCAUCAGCCUGACGAUAUGACGUCACUGGUAUUAGACUCAACCUCAGGGACAAUUUGUCAUGUUCCAUCUUCACCUUUCACACUGGUCUACUGUAAUCGAACGACGGCUCACGCUCAGGUGAUUCGGCAGAGCUUUCUUUCAGCACACCAGUGCUUGGUGUGCGGGUAUGAAAGGUUAAGGUGGAACAUGGGCUGUUGCGCCUGAUGUUUAGUUGAAUACCAGUGACGUCAUAUCCAGUGAUACUUUCUGGCCUUGGCGAACCUAAGUAAAUUCGUAGGAAUCAUGAUCAGUGACGUCACACACCCAGCUGAUUCGGCAGAGCCUUCAUUCAGCACGCCAACACUCACAACACACGGGUACGAAAGGUAAAGAUGGAACAUGGCCUGCUGUGCUUGAUGUCUAGUUGAAUGCCAGUGACGCCAUAUCGUCCGGUGAUGGUUCACGGGUAUGAUGCAUGAUGGCCUUGGGGCCCAAGGGAACUCGUACAAAGCCGUUAUCAGUGACGUCACAUUAUCAGGUGAUUCGGCAGAAUCGUUGCUCAGCACGCAAAUGCUUGCAGUAAGACAGGUGCAAAGGUAAAGAUGGAUCAUGGCCUGUCGCGUCUGAUGUUUUGUCAAACACCAGUGGCGUUGUAUUGUCAGUUAAUGCUUUACAGCAUUCAUUCGGCCCAAAAGAGACCUGAAAACUCACAACCAGGGACGUCACACGCUCAGUCGAAUGCCAGUGAUGUAACACCGUCUGGUAAUGCCUUACAGCCUUCAGUCGGCCCAAGAGCCCAGUGACGUCACAUUAUCGGCUGGUGUUUCACAUCCUUAAUGCGGCGCUACAGUACUCACACCCUGCAACCAGCGUCCUCUUCCCUCCAUCGGCGAGACAGUCGCCAGCAGUGGUGCAGUUUCUCAGAAUUAGUUUUGGGAGGCUCAACACAAGAAUUAUGAGUAAAGAAACAUAAUGGAUGGAAAUGCCAACUAAACAUACGAAACUUCGUCACUGGUUAGAAGCCACGCAUGAAGGCAGAUCACCAGUCAACGCCACAGAGACUCCACCGUCACUCCGCGCGCACCGGCAUGGCCCUGCCCCACCCAGCUGGCUAGCGGCGCGCCCACGCGUCCCGCAGCAUCUUCCAAACUGUACGGCUGAGGAGACCGCAGAGACGUCAGAGAACCUCGGCCGGCGUUGGGGAGACCACGAAGACGUCCGGGGCCAUUGGCUAGAGCGAGCCUCGAGCCGCCGGCUAGCCGUACAGUUCACAGCGGAGCUCCUGUAUGCACUCGUUGAUGGCGCCGAUGAUGUCAGCGUGGUGCUUCCGCCGCUGGCGGAGAGCGUGCUCUCUGACGGCGUCCUGGGGGUUCUGGUGCACUUGGAACGCCAGCAGCUGCAUCUCGCACGUCUGAACACGAACAAGUACAACGGCUGUGUCACAAAGGGGGCCAGCUCUGCGGGUUGAUGUGCCACUUUGUCACUCCACUGUGCUGAAGCAAAAUGAGAAUGUUAAAGCGGUUCUGUAAUGCCGUGCAUGUGAAGUAAAUGCCGCCCCUAA